UACGAAGGGUGCAAGCGUUACUCGGAAUUACUGGGCGUAAAGCGUGCGUAGGCGGUUUGUUAAGUCCGUUGUGAAAUCCCCGGGCUCAACCUGGGAACUGCAUCUGUGACUGCAUCGCUGGAGUGCGGCAGAGGGGGAUGGAAUUCCGCGUGUAGCAGUGAAAUGCGUAGAUAUGCGGAGGAACACCGAUGGCGAAGGCGGGACUCUGGGCCGAUACUGACGCUGAGGAGCGAAAGCGUGGGGAGCAAACAGG
rnacentral:rRNA from 1 species